rnacentral:rRNA from 1 species
GACGAACGCUGGCGGCGUGCUUAACACAUGCAAGUCGAGCGGUAAGGCCCUUUCGGGGGUACACGAGCGGCGAACGGGUGAGUAACACGUGGGUGACCUGCCCUCAGCUCUGGGAUAAGCCUGGGAAACCGGGUCUAAUACUGGAUAUGACUCCAUGACGCAUGUUGUGGGGUGGAAAGCCUUGUGCGGCUGAGGAUGGGCCCGCGGCCUAUCAGCUUGUUGGUGGGGNGAUGGCCUACCAAGGCGACGACGGGUAGCCGGCCUGAGAGAGCGACCGGCCACACUGGGACUGAGACACGGCCCAGACUCCUACGGGAGGCAGCAGUGGGGAAUCUUGCGCAAUGGGCGAAAGCCUGACGCAGCGACGCCGCGUGAGGGAUGACGGCU